rnacentral:rRNA from 1 species
UGGGGAAUCUUCCGCAAUGGACGAAAGUCUGACGGAGCAACGCCGCGUGAACGAUGACGGCCUUCGGGUUGUAAAGUUCUGUUAUACGGGACGAAUGGCGUAGCGGUCAAUACCCGUUACGAGUGACGGUACCGUAAGAGAAAGCCACGGCUAACUACGUGCCAGCAGCCGCGGUAAUACGUAGGUGGGAAGCGUUGUCCGGAAUUAUUGGGCGUAAAGGGCUCGCAGGCGGCGUCGUAAGUCGGUCUUAAAAGUGCGGGGCUUAACCCCGUGAGGGGACCGAAACUGCGAUGCUAGAGUAUCGGAGAGGAAAGCGGAAUUCCUAGUGUAGCGGUGAAAUGCGUAGAUAUUAGGAGGAACACCAGUGGCGAAAGCGGCUUUCUGGACGACAACUGACGCUGAGGCGCGAAAGCCAGGGGAAGCAAACGGGAUUAGAUACCCCGGUAGUCCUGGCCGUAAACGAUGGAUACUAGGUGUAGGAGGUAUCGACCCCUUCUGUGCCGGAGUUAACGCAAUAAGUAUCCCGCCUGGGGAGUACGGCCGCAAG